UUGGGGGAGAGAUCUGGGAAUAAAAUUAAAGUAGUACCAGAGAGCAUGAGGGCAGCUACAGACUUGGGGGUUGACGAUAACAAAGAUAGUCUCUUUCUACAUUACUAGGAUGAAAAGAAACCACAGUUCUAGGAGCAUAACUGACUCUCCAGAAGCCAUCAUUGUCCAUCAUCAGGUGGCAGGGAGCCUUCAGGACCAGGAGUCAGCAGCUAGAUGCUAUUACCUGCCAGAGCUAGGUCUUUUUUAGUGCAUCAUCAAAAAAGACAGUUGUUCAUACAACAAACAUCUAUUAAGCUUCAACUGUGAUUUCUGAAGUAAAAUGUUUUGGGACCUUCCCUCCGGAGAAUUUGGAAAUAAAGCAAGGUAUUUGCCAUAAGAGAAAUGACUAGCUAAGCAAAUGCUCUGUGCUCUUACAAUCCUUUGUGAAAGUUACUUUUGAAACUGGGAAAAGAAGCUUUUGCCCACACCUGGGCUUGAGUUUUAAAGGGAAACAAUCUCCAUGGAGGCCAGGCCUUGUGG